rnacentral:rRNA from 1 species
CUAGUAAUGGCAGGUCAGCAUACUGCCGUGAAUACGUUCCCGGGCCGUUGUACACACCGCCCGUCACACCAUGAGAGUUGGGAAUACCCGAAGCCUGUGAGCCAACAAACGAGGCAGCAGUCGAAGGUAGAAUCAAUGAUUGGGGUGAAGUCGUAACAAGGUAAC